rnacentral:rRNA from 1 species
GCAGGACGCCUCAGGCCCCGCGCCGCGACGCGUCCCACGCCCGGCUGUGCGCCGCGCUCGCCGGCGGCAUGGCCGCUACCUACGCUGCACCCACCCGUGCUCCGCCCGAGCCCGCACCAGGCCGUGGCCACCACGUCGCAGGACCCGGCCACCGCGCUGUCGGACGCGGCCACCGCGCCGCAUGGCAUGGCCACAACGCCAACUGCACCGAGACGGUGCUCGCCGCCUCGGCCCUCUUCCGCCUCCGCCAACGGCUGACGACUCCAUGCCCGCGCGCUCGGUUGUAGCCAAAGUUGUGGCCGCGCCCUCUUGCGUGGUGGCCUCGCCGCCUGCGCACGCCCCUGGUCGUGGCUGCUCUCUGCCCGGCCGUGCCCGCGGCCGCCCGGCCUUGAGUGGCCACCGCCGCGUCUGCACUAACCGCCUAGGCUCGCCUCCACCCCCUCCAGCGUUAUCCGCCUUGGAGUAGGGAUGGAGAACGCCGACACCACCACCCCGCCACAGCCGGAGAUGGCCGCGAGCUCGAGCAGCCGCAUGGGUCUGCGCUUCGGCCGCCUCUUUGGUCGUGUCGUCGCCGCCCCGGCCGCAGCCCUGGAGCAUGGGCUCCGAUGAGCCUUGGCCUGCAUCUUUUCGAUGAGGCGGCCAGCCGCCUAGCGCCAGCAGCGGCAGCGGCCAACGGCCGGUGCCCAGCAUGGCAACGCCCGCGGCGUGACAAGCCUCUCCAAGCCAAGCGGUGGCUUCCGGCUAGCAACGCCCGCAGGGGCGGCCGCGGAGGCCCUCGAUGUCCGGCGCGUCGUCGUCGUCUCUAAGUGGUAGCAGCGUCCAUUGAGGACUCGCACGGGAGAACCCCAGCGUCCACACAUAAGAAAGAUUGGGGAAUCUUAUCACUUUGGCUAUUUUGCACUAUGAUCCCUGUAUUGCAGGAAUUAGUAAAAUAAGCUAAAACAAUGGU